rnacentral:rRNA from 1 species
ACUGGUGACCAUAGAGAGAAAGACCCACCCGUUCUCAUCCCGAACACGGAAGUUAAGUUUCUCAUCGCCGAAAAUAGUUGGCUGGAGACGGCCCGUCAAGAUAGGACAUUGCCAGUG